UUCCAUUAAAGUUUUUAUAUUUAAUAUGUGCAUGUUCAGUUAAGACAAAAGGCCCUCCGUUUGAAAGGCUAACGACUUUGUUCCAACAGAAUAAUGAGAAAGAAAAAUGUUAGCGAAAUUGUGUAUUUUUAAAUCAAAUGUAUUUCGUCAGUUGUAAUCAGGAUGAAACCUGUUUGUCAUUUCUCAACACCGCACUCUGAGUGCAAACAAACACACUUUCCAGCGUUCACAAGUUUAGAAGACUCAACGAGGUCGUUUUCAAGAAGCUUGCCAAAACCAUCCGCAGAUUGGAAAUUUGUCACGAGUCCUGGUGUGAUCAAAUUUUCCUUCAGCACUUGAACCAGGCUAAGAGUCUGGAAAAGGGGGAGGAGAAGUGAGAACCUUAAGAGAAGAUGGUCUUCAAUCAUCAGCGAACAACCUACAACCUGACCCCAAGUGAAAGGCUUCUGGGCUCACUGUCUCUCUGGGAAUACUUGCCAAAAGCUGCAAAGUGAACAAUGUUGUAGAACUGAAGUGACAAUAAAAAACUUCACAUU